UACGUAGGGUGCAAGCGUUGUCCGGAAUUAUUGGGCGUAAAGAGCUCGUAGGCGGUUUGUCGCGUCUGCUGUGAAAACUCGGGGCUUAACUCCGGGCCUGCAGUGGGUACGGGCAGACUAGAGUGCGGUAGGGGAGACUGGAAUUCCUGGUGUAGCGGUGAAAUGCGCAGAUAUCAGGAGGAACACCGGUGGCGAAGGCAGCCCCCUGGGUCAAGAUUGACGCUCAUGCACGAAAGCGUGGGGAGCAAACAGG
rnacentral:rRNA from 1 species